GACGAACGCUGGCGGCGUGCUUAACACAUGCAAGUCGAACGGAAAGGCCCUGCUUUUGUGGGGUGCUCGAGUGGCGAACGGGUGAGUAACACGUGAGUAACCUGCCCUUGACUUUGGGAUAACUUCAGGAAACUGGGGCUAAUACCGGAUAGGAGCUCCUGCUGCAUGGUGGGGGUUGGAAAGUUUCGGCGGUUGGGGAUGGACUCGCGGCUUAUCAGCUUGUUGGUGGGGUAGUGGCUUACCAAGGCUUUGACGGGUAGCCGGCCUGAGAGGGUGACCGGCCACAUUGGGACUGAGAUACGGCCCAGACUCCUACGGGAGGCAGCAGUGGGGAAUAUUGCACAAUGGGCGGAAGCCUGAUGCAGCAACGCCGCGUGCGGGAUGACGGCCCUCGGGUUGUAGACCGCUUUCGCCUGUGACGAAGCGUGAGUGACGGUAAUGGGUAAAGAAGCACCGGCUAACUACGUG
rnacentral:rRNA from 1 species